GUGCCCACUUUGGCAGCACAUAUACUAAAAAAUUGGAAUGAUGCAGACAAGAUUAACAUGGCCCCUGUGCAAGGAUGACAUGCAAAUUCAUGAAGCAUUCCUUAUUUUU